rnacentral:rRNA from 1 species
CAGUAGCCGCGGUAAUACGAAGGGGGCUAGCGUUGUUCGGAUUUACUGGGCGUAAAGGGCGCGUAGGCGGGCGAUUAAGUCAGGGGUGAAAUCCCAAGGCUCAACCUUGGAACUGCCUUUGAUACUGAUUGUCUUGAGUUCGAGAGAGGUAAGUGGAACUGCGAGUGUAGAGGUGAAAUUCGUAGAUAUUCGCAAGAACACCAGUGGCGAAGGCGGCUUACUGGCUCGAUACUGACGCUGAGGCGCGAAAGCGUGGGGAGCAAACAGGAUUAGAUACCCGAGUAGUCCCUGUCUCUUAUAC